GAGGACCCAGCCGGGCUGGCCGCCGCCGCCCGCGUUGCCGCCGCGCGGCACCACGUCGGUGAACUCGCCGUUCGGGUACUGCGGGUACUCC
rnacentral:tRNA from 1 species